AGAUGUUAGGGCAAUCUACCUGGGACAUCUGUUACCCCAUUGAUCACCAGGAUUGAUUUGGCUGAUCUGGCUGGUUAGGCGGGUGUCCCCUCCCUCCCUCACCACUCCAUGUGUGUCCCUCCUAAAGGUGCAAGCUCAGUCAAAGAGGAUGACCAUCCCCAAUAGAGGAGGAUCAUUCUUUGGUCAAGGGUAUUUGAGUUGCUAUGCUCCCUUGCUAGACCUCCAAACAAGUUCUUGAAGACCCUAAAAACUCCACCAAAAAUACUCUUGGACAUCAUAAACAUUUUCAGCAAGUUAUCAAAAUGCAAAAUCAAUAUACAAAAAUAAGUAGUUU
rnacentral:snRNA from 1 species